rnacentral:lncRNA from 1 species
AUACAUUUUUUUGUUACUUUUUUUUUCUUUUUAAGUAAAACCUCAUGCUAGAGGGUGUUUAUUUAUUUAUUUUUAUUAAGGCACUUCAAUUCUUUAACUUCCUUUAUUUUCAUUGUAAAUAUUUUUUUAUAUAUCUUUAUCUCUGUUCAGAUGAAAAGAAGGAUUUCUAAAAGGUGUCUGGCUUUAGAAUCUGGCCUGCAAAACAGAGCAGAGAUCUAUUGCGUUGAACCAUCAUUCCCAUGAUUCAUCAGAGCAUUAUAUCCAAGAGGAAGCAUGUUGCUCACUUUCAGGUUUAAUCCUUUAAAAUUAAAAUCCUUGCAAUUUAAGAAAUAUUUCAGUUAUAGAAGAGAUAAUCUCUACUGUAGCAGAAAUAUUCCAAGGUACUGUGCUGCUUCAAAAUAAAUAUUUGUCUUUGAUAGAAAUUGCAGGGAGUCAAUGUGGGCUGACUUGGCUAGUGCUGUCCAUUAGAAAAAGGUCUGGAAAACAAAAUACAUUGUUUACUGUAGUUUUCUGGCACUUUCUUUUAAUUUGGUGAAUGAGAUGAAAACUCCAAUAUGCUUACAUUUAUUUUUCUCAUAUAACGUCCAUCCUGACUCUUCAAGUAUGUCUUUGCCUCUUUGAGCAGUCUCUGCUAACAAUCUAUAGAGGGUUAGUGAGCUCUGGGGUCUAGAAGAUCCACUUGUCUCUAGCAGAGCAAAAAUAAUCCAUGAUUCUAGCAGGCUACAGCUUGGAAAAUAGCAAAGACAUGGCAUAGCUCUGUUAAAAUCCUAUUUCCCACCAGUUUGAGUCCCCGAGCUAGUAUCUUUGUGCAAUUCACCCGUGAAUUAGUGCUGCGGUAGCAGAAGAGCCUGCAAGUGCAAAGCACAGGGCAUUGAAGAACUCUAAAAACACAAAUGGGUCUACUUUAUAAAAAAAAAAAAAAAAAAUUAAGAGCCCCUAAUAUAAAUAAUACUGUAUAAGUAAUGAUCAGAAUGUGAAUUUCUAUGAAUGCCUGGCCCUUUGCAAUUCUUGUGGUACUUCAGUGGAGCUGACGAUCUUUAAAGUCCUGCAAAGUUCACAAGGCGGUCAUUUCACGACAUUUAGUCUGAAGAUGAUCUUCGUCCCAUUUUAGACAAAUAUGGAAAAAGGAGGAAACAAAACCACAACUUUGUGAACAAUUCUUGAAGACUCCAUCAGAUCACUGCCAAGUUCCCAGAGCAUCAGUCUGGAUGAAAACAAGACAUAGUACCUCCUUUUUCAUGAAAAAUUUACUUGUAAGGAAA